rnacentral:rRNA from 1 species
UACGGAGGGUGCAAGCGUUAAUCGGAAUUACUGGGCGUAAAGCGUGCGCAGGCGGUUUGUUAAGUCUGCUGUGAAAUCCCCGAGCUCAACUUGGGAAUUGCAGUGGAUACUGGCAAGCUGGAGUACGGUAGAGGAAGGUGGAAUUCCCGGUGUAGCAGUGAAAUGCGUAGAGAUCAGGAGGAACACCAGUGGCGAAGGCGGCCUUCUGGACCAGUACUGACGCUCAUGCACGAAAGCGUGGGGAGCAAACAGG